UGUGUGUGUGUGUGUGUGUGUGUUCCGGAAGCUCAGAAGCUUGGCUUUGGAGGAUUGGGGGAAGAGAGGCUGGCCUUGACCCAUUCAGACCCCACUCCCACUUCUCAAACUGGACCGUGAUUCAAGAGAGCAGUCAGGAAUGGAAGGAGACCUCUAGCCAUGGAUCUAAAACAAAAUAAGAAGAGACAGAUCCACAGUGGCUUAGAGUCAAGAAGACUUGAAUUCAAAUCCAUCCUCAAAGGAACUGUUUGACCCAGAGCAAGUCAUUUAACCUCUGUUUGCCUUAUGUUCCUCAAAUGAAAGAUGGGGAUAAUAAUAACACCUGCUUCCUCAGUUGGUUGUGAAGAUCAAAUGAAAUACUAUUUGUAAAGUUCUCUACAAAGAAGAUUGUUUGCUGUCUUGGGGAUGGGGACAAGAGGAGAGGAGAACUAUUUGAAACAUAGUUUUGCAAAGGUGAAUGUUGAAAAUGAACUUUGAAGAUCAUUAUAUACUUCAACAACAAUAUAAUAUGAUGAUCAAUUCUGAUGGACGUGGCCCUCUUCAACAAUGAGAUGAACCAAAUCAGUUCCAAUGGAGCAGUAAUAAACUCUGGGAGAUGACUAUGAACUACAACAUAGAAUUCCCAAUCCCUCUAUUUUUGUCCACCUACAUUUUUGAUUUCCUUCACAGGCUAAUUGUACAGUAUUUCAAAAUCUGACUCUUUAUACAGCAAAAUAACUGUUUGGACAUAUAUACAUAUAUUGUAUUUAACUUAUACCUUAACAUAUUUAACAUGUAUUGGUCAACCUGCCAUCUGGGGGAAGGGAUGGAGGGAAGGAGGGAAAAAGUUGGAACAAAAGGAUUUGCAACUGUCAAUGCUGAAAAAUUACCUACGCAUAUAUCUUGUAAAUAAAAAGCUAUAAUAAUAAUAAUAAAGAAAAUGAUCUUUGCAUGUACUUGGAAAAAAUAAAAUACUAUUAAAAAGAAAAAGAGAUAAAUAUACUGUAAUAUAAAAUUAAAUAACAAUCUAUAGCCUUUCAAAAAAAAGUUGUCUCCUUAACUCUUCACUAUUCCCUCACUACCCCAUAUCCAAUCACUUUUCAAAUAUGGCCAAUUCUAUUUACACAAUGUCUUUAACAUCCAUUUUCUUUUCUCUACUCAUAUAGCCACCACUCUGUUCAGGACCUCAUUGCUUCUCACUUGGUUUAUUAAAAUGGACUCCUAAUAGUUCUCUCUGACUGAAUUCCGUCUCCAAUGUAACAUAUCAUCUACACAUAUGCCAAAGUGAUCUUUCUAAGCUGCAAGUCUGACCAAGUCAUUGCUGUGCCCUCCAGUUUCACAAAAUUCAUUAGUUCUCUAUUAUAUAUGGAACUAUUAUAAAGAUUGGCAUUUGAAGCUCUUUAUAGUCAAAACCAUUCUUGUCUUUCCAAUCUUCUCAUACGUGAUUCCCUUCCAUAUGUUUUAUGAUCCAUCCAUACUGGACUUCUUACUCUUCUGAGGGAAAUUAUUAUUAAUAAUCAAUUAAUAUUGGGAUAUAGUUUUAUUUUUUCUUUUUGCUUCUUCAUUCAAAGCCCAGCCCUUGUAGAUCAAGUCAGUCUCUAAAGAACAGGGCUGAAAUCAGUUCCAAUUGUUCAGUAAUGAAUAGAAUCAGCUACACCCAGCAAAAGAACUCUGGUAGAUGAUUAUGAACCACUACAUAGAAUUCCCAAUCCCUCUAUUUUUGUCCCCUUGCAUUUUGAUUUCCUUCACAGAUUAAUUGUACAUCAUUUCAAAGUCCAAUUCUUCUUGUGCAGCAAAAUAACUGUAUGGAUAUGUAUACAUAUAUUGUAUUUAACAUAUACUUUAACAUAUUUAAUAUGUAUUGGUCUACCUGCCAUCUGGGGGAGGGGGUGGAAAGGAGGGGAAAAAUUGGAACAAAAGGUUUGGCAAU